AGUGAACGCUGGCGGCGUGCUUAACACAUGCAAGUCGAACGAUAACGGAUUAUAGCUUGCUAUAAUUGUCAGCUAAGUGGCGCACGGGUGAGUAAUGUAUAGGUAAUAUGCCUCUUACUAAGGGAUAACAAAUGGAAACGUUUGCUAAUACCUUAUACUCCAUAUUAACAGAAGUUAAUAAGGGAAAGAUUUAUUGGUAAGAGAUUAGCCUGUAUUGUAUCAGUUAGUUGGUGGGGUAAUGGCUUACCAAGACUAUGACACAUAACUGGUUUGAGAGGAUGAUCAGUCACACUGGAACUGAGACACGGUCCAGACUCCUACGGGAGGCAGCAGUGGGGAAUAUUGCACAAUGGACGGAAGUCUGAUGCAGCAACGCCGCGUGGAGGAUGACACAUUUCGGUGCGUAAACUCCUUUUAUAUGAGAAGAUAAUGACGGUAUUAUAUGAAUAAGCACCGGCUAACUCCGUGCCAGCCGCCGCAGUAA
rnacentral:rRNA from 1 species